rnacentral:tRNA from 1 species
GAUCACUUAGCUCAGUUGGCUAGAGCGCUUCGUUGACAUCGAAGAGGUCACUGGUUCGAGUCCAGUAGUGAUCA